CAAUAGCGUAUAUUAAAGUUGUUGCAGUUAAAAAGCUCGUAGUUGGAUUUCUGAUCGAGACAUCAGGUCGGGUCCGAGAGGAUCAUGUACUUUGAUUUUGUUUUGAUCAUCCUUGGGGAGAGCAUUUCUGGCAUUCAGUUGUCGGGAUUGGGAUCCUCAUCGUUUACUGUGAAAAAAUUAGAGUGUUCAAAGCAGGCCUCGGCCUCUGAAUACAUUAGCAUGGAAUAAUAAGAUAGGACUUUGGUGGUCUAUUUUGUUGGUUUGCACGCCAAAGUAAUGAUUAAUAGGGAUAGUUGGGGGUAUUCGUAUUCAAUUGUCAGAGGUGAAAUUCUUGGAUUUAUGGAAGACGAACUACUGCGAAAGCAUUUACCAAGGAUGUUUUCAUUAAC
rnacentral:rRNA from 1 species